UGGAAGGAUAGAGAAAGAGACGCAGGAGGGGAAGAAAGUAGGGUAGACUAAAGAUGGCCACCUUAUAUGCACCCCUAAGUUCAUUGCAGCAAUAUUCCCAACAGCAAGACAUGGAAGCAACCCAAAUGCCCAUCAACAGAUGAAUGAACGGGGUGACCUUGUGACUUGCUUUGACCAAUAGAAUGCAGCAGCUGUGAUGCAAUUCCAGGCCCAGGCCUUAAGAAGAUCUGGCAGCUUCUGCUUUUGCUCCCUGGGGGAAGCCAGCCCGCUGUGAGCAGUCCAACUAUCCUGAGAGAUCACCUGGAGAGGCCAAGCAGAGGAGAACUGAGGAACCCAGCCAACACCAAGGACUGAAGCCUAGAUAUAUGACCCCACUUGAAUUGUUCCAACCAGACCUCAGCUUUUUGAGCCAUUCCAGCUGAGGGCCCAGACAUCACAGAACAGAGAUGAGCUAUUCCCACCAUGCUCUGAUCAAGUUACUGACCCACAAAGCCAUGUUCCAAUGAAAUGCUGUUUUAAGC
rnacentral:lncRNA from 1 species